UUUCCGUAGGUGAACCUGCGGAAGGAUCAUUAUUGUAUAACCGAGGUACGAGGGCUGUCGCUGACCCGAAAGGUCGUGCACGCCCGAGUUCCCUCACACACAUCCAUCUCACCCCUAUGUGCACCACCGCGUGGGUCCCCCUUUGGCUUGUUCGGAGGGGGGCUUACGUUUUCACACAAACUUUGUAUGCAGUGUAGAAUGUAUUUUUUGUUUUUGCGAUCACGCAAUCAAUACAACUUUCAACAACGGAUCUCUUGGCUCUC
rnacentral:misc_RNA from 1 species